UACGAAGGGGGCUAGCGUUGCUCGGAAUCACUGGGCGUAAAGGGUGCGUAGGCGGAUCUUUAAGUCAGGGGUGAAAUCCUGGAGCUCAACUCCAGAACUGCCUUUGAUACUGAGGAUCUCGAGUUCGGGAGAGGUGAGUGGAACUGCGAGUGUAGAGGUGAAAUUCGUAGAUAUUCGCAAGAACACCAGUGGCGAAGGCGGCUCACUGGCCCGGUACUGACGCUGAGGUGCGAAAGCGUGGGGAGCAAACAGGG
rnacentral:rRNA from 1 species